rnacentral:rRNA from 1 species
UACGUAGGCAGCGAGCGUUGUUCGGAAUUACUGGGCGUAAAGAGUGUGUAGGCGGUGCUCUAAGUCUGUUGUGAAAUCUCCCGGCUUAACUGGGAGGGUGCGGCGGAAACUGGAGUGCUCGAGGGUGGGAGAGGAAAGCGGAAUUCCUGGUGUAGCGGUGAAAUGCGUAGAUAUCAGGAGGAACACCUGCGGUGUAGACAGCUUUCUGGACCACUUCUGACGCUGAGACACGAAAGCGUGGGUAGCAAACAGG